rnacentral:rRNA from 1 species
GCAAGUCGAGGGGUAACAUUGUAGCUUGCUACAGAUGACGACCGGCGCACGGGUGCGUAACGCGUAUACAAUCUGCCUUGUACUGGAGAAUAGCCCAGAGAAAUUUGGAUUAAUGCUCCAUGGUUCUAUAAUAUCGCCUGAUAUAAUAGAUAAAGCUUCGGCGGUAAAAGAUGGUCAUGCGUGACAUUAGAUAGUUGGUAAGGUAACGGCUUACCAAGUCUACGAUGUCUAGGGGUUCUGAGAGGAAGGUC